UACGUAGGGUGCAAGCGUUGUCCGGAAUUAUUGGGCGUAAAGAGCUCGUAGGCGGUUCGUCGCGUCGGCUGUGAAUCCGCGAGCUCAACUCCGGGUCUGCAGUCGAUACGGGCGGACUCGAGUUCGGCAGGGGAGACUGGAAUUCCUGGUGUAGCGGUGAAAUGCGCAGAUAUCAGGAGGAACACCGGCGGCGAAGGCGGGUCUCUGGGCCGAUACUGACGCUGAUGCACGAAAGCUAGGGGAGCAAACAGG
rnacentral:rRNA from 1 species